rnacentral:tRNA from 1 species
GGAGGUGUAGCUCAGUGGUAGAGUACUGGUCUAGCAUGUGCAAGGCCCUGGGUUUGAUCCCCAGCACCACCA